rnacentral:rRNA from 1 species
GAUCCUGGCUCAGGACGAACGCUGGCGGCGUGCUUAACACAUGCAAGUCGAACGAGAAUCUACUGAAAGAGUUUUCGGACAAUGGAAGUAGAGGAAAGUGGCGGACGGGUGAGUAACGCGUGAGGAACCUGCCUUGAAGAGGGGGACAACAGUUGGAAACGACUGCUAAUACCGCAUGAAGCAUAGAGGUCGCAUGAUCUUUAUGCCAAAGAUUUAUCGCUUCAAGAUGGCCUCGCGU